rnacentral:rRNA from 1 species
UACGGAGGGUGCAAGCAUUGAUCGGAAUUACUGGGCGUAAAGGGCGCGUAGGCGGUCAAAAAAGUCAGAUGUGAAAUUCCGGGGCUCAACCCCGGAGCUGCAUUUGAAACUUUUUGACUUGAGUGCAACUAGGGAAAAUGGAAUUCCACGUGUAGCGGUGAAAUGCGUAGAUAUGUGGAAGAACACCGGUGGUGAAGACGGUUUUCUGGGUUGUAACAGACGCUGAGGCGCGAAAGCUAGGGGAGCAAACAGG